CAACGCCGUAAACGAUGAGGUGCUAGGUGUACCGGUAUCGACCCCGCGUGUGCCGUCGCUAACGCAUUUAAGCACUCCGCCUGGGGAGUACGCCCGCAAGGUUGAAACUCAAAGGAAUUGACGGGGGCCCGCACAACGGUGGAGCAUGUGGAUUAAUUCGUCACUAACCGAAGAACCUUACCCAGGCUUGACAUCUAUCGCACCGGCGUGAAAGCGUCGUUCCCUUCGGGGACGGUAAGACAGGUGUUGCAUGCUGUCGUCAGCUCGUGUCGUGAGAUGUUGGGUUAAGUCCCGCAACGAGCGCAACCCUCAUUGUCUGUUGCCAGCGUAAAGUCGGGAACUCUGACAAAACUGCCCGUGCAAGCGGGAGGAAGGUGGGGAUGACGUCAAGUCGGCAUGGCCCUUACGCCUGGGGCUUCACACAUGCUACAAUGGACGGCACAAAGGGCAGCAAUACCGCGAGGUGGAGCGAAUCUCAAAAAUCCGUCCUCAGUUCGGAUUGCAGGCUGCAACUCGCCUGCAUGAAGCCGGAAUCGCUAGUAACCGCAGGUCAGCUAAACUGCGGUGAAUACGUUCCCGGGCCUUGUACACACCGCCCGUCAAGUCACCUGAAUUGUCUGCACCCAACGCCGGUGGCCCAACUCUUCGGAGAGGGAGCCGUCUAAGGUGUGGGGAGUAAGGGGGACUAAGUCGUAACAAGGUAAC
rnacentral:rRNA from 1 species